UCCCUUCACCUCAAGUCACCUCAGUCAUUGCUGUAAAUCUCAAUCAAAAAUCCCUCAGCCUUGCUUUAAAUGGCUUCGUACACAGACACUUGCUGUUGCAGCCUUUCACUCGGCCGUCUUUACUAUUUCUAAUUGAUAGUACCCUCUUCCCCAUCCCCGUUAGGGAUGGAAUUGUUCCAUCCCAUUAUGACUUAUUUUUUUAAGUAUAACCACUGGCCUCCCUUACCUAGAUACCCACCCUUUCUCUCUUCUCGCCCUCCCACUGAAUUUUACUGUCAAGUUAUAUUUUUAAAAGGUGACUUAUAUAAUGAGCCGGAAGAGUAGCUCUCUUUCCUCUCCUCUCAUUAUCACCUCCUUUUCGCCCUCUUUUUCGAUUUUGUUUUUGUUAUUUGAGUUCCUGUUUCUUCUGCAAAAGUUCCUCUCUUUUUUGAGUUUUUUCUUUUCCCGUUUGCUUUCUCUCGGCUUCGACUCCUGGGUCUUAACUAUCCUCUGUCAGACACCCUAUUUACUGCUCUCUGCCACCCUCUCUUCGUAUGGUAUUCACACCUAACCUGAUUUGCCGCUUCUUCUUUGUCACUUGCCAUUACUGUUACUUGUACCCCCUUUGUCACUUCUGCGUCACCAAGUACUGCCGCUAUUACUACCUCCCUGCCCCUCCUUCUGCGCCCAUUUCUUGCUGUGUCUAUUUCAUUUUCUGCUCUUAACCCCUCUCUCUCUCUCCCAUGGCUACUCAACUCGGCCGCUGUCCCUCCGUUCCCUCCCUACCCCCUCCCUCCCCCAAGUCGCCGCCGGACUACCCUGAUUUGUACGGCAAGCGCCGCGAGACCGCCAGAGUCCAGAUGCUCGAGAGGGAGAUCAGUUUUCUUGAGGAGGAAUUGAAAUCUGUAGAAGCCCAUCAACCGGCUUCGAGAUGCUGCAAAGAGAUUGCCGAUUUUGUGGUGGCAAACUCAGAUCCUCUGCUACCCACAAAUAAGAAAGAGCGCCGGUCAUGUGGCUUCUGGAAGUGGCUCAGAGGGAUGGCGUGUUGGAAGGUAUCGUGGAUGUGGUGUUGGUGCUGUGAAGAGUGUUGCUAUGGUAAUCUAAAAUGGCGACGCAGGUGCAAGCCAAAGCAGAGGUGGGCAUGUAGUGGUGGUAGUGGCAGUAGUUGUUGUAAUGCGUGUUGGUCAUGUCCAAGACCAAAAUCAGAUUGCUGCUGCUGCAUUCCCCAAAGUUGUUGCAGUUUUCAAUGUGAUUCCUGCCCUUCUUGCUGCACUUGCAAAUGUUCUUGCUCUUGCUCCUGCCCAAAGGUACGCCCGUGUUGCUCUUGUACAAACUCCUGCUGCUGCUGGAACCCCUGCCGUUUAUGUUGCUAGUCUCUAAUUCUCAAACUCUUGGGCCUUGUUCCUCAGCUCCUUCUUCAAACCCCGUUUACUGCUUCCCGUGUACAUAUUAUUAUUAUUAUGUUUUGUCAGCCAAUGCCCAAUAGUUCCCUUUUCGUUUUCAAAUUUGAAUUCAUCAUGUGGUCCUACAUCAAUGGUGGUGCUUGAUUAAAAUACAAGUGGCAGCAACAUGUGUGACUUCCAUCCACUCCUUUUCUUCCUGCGCACAACAAUGUCCUUUCAUUCAGUACAUUUCACGGAUAUUAACCAUUCUGGCCCGGCAAAGGAAGCGUUCGCUCGGAAUUGACGACAUCCCCAUUCUGGUAAAAUUUCGGGCGAGGGUGCGGCUCAAUCAUAAUUGCGGUGGCCACCGCAGCUUGAAACAACAGAUGUAACUUUUGAGAAGGCCCCAAAGAACACUGUCGACGGCAGUCAUGGCUUCUUGCCAAAGGAGAGACUCGUGGAAAGCAAAAUUGAGCUUGAAGGGCAUCUAGUGAAACCAUGAAACGGGGUUGUUGCAUCAUGUGAGUUCUUAUUGGCCAUAGAUGUCAUGUAAUUAACGGUGAUGAACAUGGGAGAGGAGGAAAAGAGGAUGGAAAAAUAAGAGGAGAGGUUCAUUGCCCACCAAAAAAAAAUUGACAACAAUUAUGUGUUGUCGAAAGUCUAACUUUUUGUGAUGAUUUUAGCUAAUCUUUAUUACAAAUUUAAGUUUAAAAGUCAUUGUUGUAAGUUUACAAUCAUCAAUCAUCGGUGAUUUUAAUUGUCAUCCUUGAA